AUACGGAGGGUGCGAGCGUUAAUCGGAAUUACUGGGCGUAAAGCGUGCGUAGGUGGCUUGGUAAGUCGGAUGUGAAAGCCCUGGGCUCAACCUGGGAACUGCAUUCGAUACUGCCUGGCUAGAGUAUAGUAGAGGGAAGUGGAAUUCCGGGUGUAGCGGUGAAAUGCGUAGAUAUCCGGAGGAACACCAGUGGCGAAGGCGGCUUCCUGGACUAAUACUGACACUGAGGUACGAAAGCGUGGGGAGCAAACAGGAUUAGAUACCCGGGUAGUCC
rnacentral:rRNA from 1 species